rnacentral:rRNA from 1 species
AUGUAUGAAGCUGCCGACAUCCUCGACCUCUGCCAGCUCAAGGCCAUGGAGCGGGGUCUGUCAACUAAAGAUGCGGGGUGCUUCAACCCCUUGCUCUUCUGCAUGCGGAAUCCCUCCCAUGCCCACGCCAUCGGCACCCGCAUCAAGGCGCUCAACAAGAGGCUCAGUGUCAUCAAGGAGAGAAGCGCUGCCUUUAGCUUCAUCCCUCUUGGUUCCUAUGAGGAUCGUAGCAGCAAGGUGCAAGCCUCUCAUUCUGGAAAUAAGAGACGCGAGACAUCAGGGGUGUUUGACCGGUCGGGUGUAGUUGGAGAGAAGAUCGAACAAGACACAAGAAAGCUGGUUGAGAUCAUGCUGAGUGAAAAGGAAUGCAAUCCCAGCAUCAUGGUGUUCGCCAUUGUUGAUGUCGGUGGAAUCGGCAAGACCACUCUUGCCCAGAAGGUCUUCAAUGACGAAACCUUGAACAACGAGUUUGUGAAGACAAUAUGGUUGAGCAUCAACAAGGACUUCGAUGAGGUUGAGUUGCUCAGGACAAUCAUCACACAAACCGGGGGAGUACAUGGUGGUGAAAAGGCGUUGGCUGUGCUUCAGCCAAUCCUUGCCACUACCUUGAAAGGGAAGAAGGUAUUCCUGGUGCUAGAUGAUGUUUGGAACCAUGGAGCAUGGGAUGAUAUGCUUAAAGCACCCUUGGCUAAUGUUGUGGCUCGAGGUAGCCGAGUCCUCGUCACUACUAGAGAUGAAAGGGUAGUUCGAGGGAUGAAAGCUGCGCUUCCGUACCACCAUGUCAACAAGUUGGAGGAGGAGGAUGCCUGGUUAUUGCUCAAGAAACAGGUAGUCUCAAGUGAGGCAGAUGCACGUGAAAUUGAUAUUCUCAAGGACAUUGGGUUGCAAAUUAUAGCAAAAUGUGAUGGUUUGCCUCUUGCUGUGAAAGUAAUGGGAGGACUGUUGUGUCAGAAAGGCAAAAAUUAUCAUGCGUGGGAGAUGGUUCUGCAUGACUCCAUAUGGUCGGUAUCUGAAAUGCCCGAAGAGUUAAACCAUGCAGUAUAUUUAAGCUAUGAAGAUUUGCCGCCUUGUAUCAAACAAUGCUUUUUGUACUACUCCCUUCUCCCUAAAACUGCAUUGUUCUUUUGGAACAACAUCAUUGGCAUGUGGAUCAGUGAAGGAUUUCUUCAUGGCUCAGAAGACUUGGAGGAAUUAGGAAGGGAGUACUAUAAGGAGUUGAUAUUGAGGAACCUGAUAGAGCCAAAUACACAGUACAUGAGUCGAUCUUUGUGCAACAUACAUGAUGUUGUUCGCUUGUUUGGUCAAUUUGUGGCUAGAGAUGAGGCACUAGCAGCCCACAGUGGAGAAAUUAGUUUUGUUAGCAAGCUUAAAGUGCAAAAGUUUAUUCGGUUAUCUCUAGAAAGCCAAGCAUCGGAAUCAGAUGGGUUAGACUGGAGUUCCUUACAAACACAACAAACAUUGAGAACACUAAUAUCAGUUGGCCACAUAAAUAUGAAGCCUGGUGAUUCUUUGGUUAAUUUUCCAUGCCUACGUACUUUAGAUAUAAAAUCUGCACAUGUUGUAGCAUUGCUUGAAUCUUUGCAUAAACUCAGGCAUCUGAGGUAUCUGUCCUUGGAAGAAACGGAUAUUUCCAGUCUACCAGAUUGCAUUGGAAAGAUGAAAUUCUUGCAGUACAUUAGCCUUAAAGGAUGCAAAGAAAUUGUGCAAGUUCCACAUAGCAUUGUAAUGUUAGAGCAGCUAAGGUAUCUUGACCUCAGGGAAACAAAUAUAAGUGACAUACCUGGGGGGUUCAGUGUUUUAACAAACUUGAGGAUAGUACGUGGUUUUCCAGCUUGUGAGGAUGGUGAUUGCUGCAGUUUGGAAGAAUUGGGUCCUCUUUCUCGGCUCAAAGAUCUUGGAAUAGAUGGAUUGGAGAACGUAACUGCUUCCUUAUUAUUAGCUUGUAGGUGA